GGGGCUCGGUGCGGGCCAUGGCGGCGGCGGCGGCGGCGGCGGCGGAGGAGCAGCGGCAGCAGCUGCGCAGCCUGCGGGACUUCCUGCUGGUGUACAACCGCAUGACCGAGCUCUGCUUCCGGCGCUGCGUCUGCAACCUCAACUACCGGCUGCUCACCGGGCGCGAGGUGCGGCGGGACCCGGGAUCCCCGCGCGCGCUGCCCGGACCCUGCUCCCGGUCCUUCGUCCCGGAUCCCCUAUCCCCUGAUCCCGUGAUUCCCCGGUCCUCGAGUCCCUGGUGCUGACCCGUGUUCCCGGGCUCCGUCAUUCCCUCUGUCCUCAUCCUCUGGUCCCCAGGUCUCUGACCCCUGGUCCUUCAUGCCCUGAUCCUCAUUCCCAUGGUCCCCUGGUGCUGAUCCCUUGGUCCUCGAUCCUGGAUACCCUGGUCCUUGAUACCCUGAUCCUCUGCUCCUUCACCCCUGAUCCACAAGUCCCUGAGCCCCUGGUGCUUCAUCCCCUGGUCCUUGUUGCCCUGGUCCUCAAAACCUUGGUUCCUGAUCCUCAGGUCCUUGAUCCCCUGAUCCACUGGUUCUUGUGCCCCUCUUGUUCCUCGAUCCGCUGAUCCCGGGUCACCAUCCUGUAGGAAUCCUGCCUCGACAGCUGUGCCUCCAAGCUGGUGCACUCCAACCACCGCCUCAUGCGCUCCUACGUGGCGCUGAUGCCCGGCAUCCUGCAGCGCCGUGCAGCCGAUUCGGCGUCCCAGGAGCCGGCACUUCCCGCAGCCCCCCCUGGCCCCAUGGCGGCUCCCGACAUGGGCACGUAGCGGGCGGAUGGCCCCGGGAUGGAUCCGGCCCCGGGAUGGAUCUGGGCCUGGUGCUGGGCUGAGCCUGUGUACGCUGAGCGGGAGCUCACGCCGCUCUGGACCCAGCUGUGCGGAUCCGCAGCCUCCAUCAGGAUUGGGAACCUCCGUCAGGAUCAGGAACCUCUGUCGGGAUCAGGAACCUCCAUCAGCAGCCACCGAGCCUGUCCAGUGGCACCGGGAAAGGGAUCGCAGCGCCAGUGCCUCCAGUGGGGGAUUCCCACUCGAACUCGGUGCCGGCGGCUCCGUGCUGGGCUCUGGCUCCAGCACCGGGGCUCGGAUUUUCAGGAGUGUUUUCCUCGUGCUAAUAAAGUGUCUCAUCCCUGA
rnacentral:lncRNA from 1 species